rnacentral:snRNA from 1 species
AUACCUUGCAGGGGAAAUACCAUGUCAUAAAAGUGGUUUUUCCAAGGGGAAGGCUUAUCCUUUGCACUUCAGGUAUGCUGCUGAACCCUGUGAUUUCUCCAAAUGUGAGGAACUCAACUGCAUAAUUUGUGUUAAUGGGAGAUUGUACUUGUUAUUUCCCU